rnacentral:rRNA from 1 species
CCUACGGGAGGCAGCAGUGGGGAAUUUUGGACAAUGGGCGCAAGCCUGAUCCAGCAAUGCCGCGUGAGUGAAGAAGGCCUUCGGGUUGUAAAGCUCUUUUGUCAGGGAAGAAACGGUCUACUCUAAUACAGUGGGCUAAUGACGGUACCUGAAGAAUAAGCACCGGCUAACUACGUGCCAGCAGCCGCGGUAAUACGUAGGGUGCAAGCGUUAAUCGGAAUUACUGGGCGUAAAGCGUGCGCAGGCGGUUAUAUAAGUCAGAUGUGAAAUCCCCGGGCUCAACCUGGGAACUGCAUUUGAGACUGUAUGGCUAGAGUGUGUCAGAGGGGGGUAGAAUUCCACGUGUAGCAGUGAAAUGCGUAGAUAUGUGGAGGAAUACCGAUGGCGAAGGCAGCCCCCUGGGAUAACACUGACGCUCAUGCACGAAAGCGUGGGGAGCAAACAGGAUUAGACUACCCUGGUACGUCCGACCGACCCUAACCGAACUAGUCUUACUUAGUUAGUUCGGGUACGUUAAUUAGUUCGUUGUUACGACGAGACGUACGUACGUGAGUAGACCGCCGUGGGUAGGUUACGGUUCGUCGAAGAAGUUAAACGUUAAAGUUAGUUAGUUAGUUAGGACGUUGAGACGACCGACGGACGACGACGAGGGAGGAGG